AAAAUGUCGAAAAAAGCCCGAACUUUCAAAUUUAGGACGAAAAAGCAUAAACUUUCGAAAUGUCAAUUAAAUCAUAAAGUUUGGUUUGACUUUUCGAUAAAAUGCUCAAGUUUCGUUGACUGAGCCAUUUUGAGCACGACGUUAACUUUCCGUUUAAAAAAAUAAUAACGCAGUUAACUUUCCGUUAGAACCAAAACGAU
rnacentral:lncRNA from 1 species